rnacentral:rRNA from 1 species
GGGGGCCCGAAGGGGUGGACCAUUUGUUUUAAUUUGAACCAACAAGAUGAACUUUGCCAUUUCUUGACUUUUUCUGACAUCCCAGGAGAUAGGGCUUCCCCUUCGGGGCCAGAGUGCAAGGUGGUGCAUGGUAUCGUCAGCUCGUGUCGUGAGAUGUGGGGUUAAGUCCCGCAACGAGAGCAACCCUUGAUCUUAGUAUCCAGCAUUCAGUUGGGCACUCUAAGGUGACUGCCGGUGACAAACCGGAGGAAGGUGGGAAUGACGUCAAAUCAUCAUGCCCCUUAUGACAUGGGCUACACACGUGCUACAAUGGGCAGAACAAAGGGCAGCGAAGCCGCGAGGUUAAGCCAAUCCCACAAAUCUGUUCUCAGUUCGGAUUGCAGUCUGCAACUCGACUGCGUGAAGCUGGAAUCGCUAGUAAUCGCGGAUCAGCAUGCCGCGGUGAAUACGUUCCCGGGCCUUGUACACACCGCCCGUCACACCACGAGAGUUUGUAACACCCGAAGUCGGUGAGGUAACCUUUGGAGCCAGCCGCCGAAGGUGACAGA